UUAUUAGGUGAUUAAUGGUUUAGCUUCUUAAAGCCCAAAUGUACCCGUAAUGUAGACGUAAAACAGUAAACACGUCGUUACUCGGUAGAAACGACCCGCGUCCGCCAUCUUGUUAAUGGUAAGUUGAGCUUCGACAUAAAUCGAAGUUUACUUAGAAACUAAUUAAGCUUAAUUGUGUUAAUGAAAGAGGCUGCAAAAAUAAGUUGUUGCUCGCGUAGCACAAGAACUAAGGAAGUUAUCCACUAAACACUGGAUAUGAAGUCCGUCGGGCCAAGACCAAUUCUGGACGUCUCCAUGACGUGCAGACAAGGCCGUCUAACGAUGACUCCUCUUGUACGUCAAUAGGCAGUUCAAUGUUUGAACGUCGGACUUUUAGAGGUCAUACAGACCAGCGCCAUAGAAAGAGAGUUACGACACUCUCUGAACUCACCGAUAGGCGGUCACGUGGUUCAUGUUAGGUCACGUGGUUCAUGUAGCUCUCAAUAGUUCCAAACAUGUCAGCGGUGUCAGUCAGGUUGAACGGCUUCAGGCGCGACAUAACGCAAAAAGCGACUUUUUUCACUCUUUCCUGUGACUUUUGGUAAUUAAAUAAUAAUGAACUGAUUACUGGCUACUAAAUCAUAAUUUGAAAAUCCAAACAGAAGUAACAAUACCUAAUAUAAAUGCUCUUUCUGAUCUCCGCAUGCUAGCACAUGCUAGCAGGGAUGCUAUAACUGUAUUCUGUGCCAGCAGUUAAGAGCUCUGAUCAAACUUACCUUCGGAUCUAUGUCCUAUACUACGUGGAAAGAUCUGUUGUCUAUGUAUUUCAAAAAAAUAUCCAAACAUUACAGAUGGAAAAUGAGCAGAAUUAAAAUUUUAUUAAAAAAAUUAAUAAUUUUUUAAUGAUUGAGGAAAAUAUGUACUGACCAGUGAUCACACAUAUAGUUCUAAAGUAAACUUUGGUACGAACUGUGUUAAAUAAUAUGUUUCAAAUUUUUUACCUAAUCUUUAUGCUAACAGUGCCAUUAUAAUUUCAGAGAUGAGGGAAAGUGAAGGGGAAAAAGAAGAUGAAAUUGUAGCCUCAGAGGACAGGGACAUGCCAGGAACUGAUGAGCCAGGGUCAACAGGGCAAGAAGUAUGCAUCAACAGGGAAUACAAUCAGGAAACUGAGGUGAAAAAGCUGAGGGAGGAAUUAGAAAACCAAAAAAAUUCACAUAAGAACAAUAGAAGGAGAACUUUACAGCCUUCAGUCUGGUCCAGAAAGUUGAAAAACUUUUCAGAACGAGGUCCAGUCAAUCUGUCAUGGAGCUCCCAAAUGUCAUGGAUACUCUAGAGAGAGAAGCAAAUCUAUUAGAAAGCAUGCUUCCUUCAUGUCACGAAGUGCAAAGACAAAUAACCACCAGAUUCAUCAGGCUGAGACUAAGAAUAGCAGCAAAACAUCUUUAAUGAAAGAAAAAAAAAUUCUGGCCACCGCUGGACAUCUUUGAAAUAAAAGCCAGGCGAAAAACACGAAGAAAAAACAACGUCAAACCUUUUCUUGCACCCCAACAAACAAGCACUAAGCAAACACGUUGACUGUUACCACGGACCUUUGAUUGUUUAAAGGAAAGAAGAAGAAUUGCAUUCAAUUCGCGAGCUUUGGAGCAACAGCGUUCUGAUUUGGACCAGUAAACGCCACUCUGAUUGGCUCAGGCAGCACGUGAUUAUGACCCAACCUAUAAAGGGUGGCUUUGCUGAGGAGCUCGGCUUCACCACCAGCAAAACAAAGGAAGAAAAAGUAGCACGCUUCAUUUAAAACCUAACUUCUGCUAUUUGGUGUUCAUAUCUGCUGGAGCUGAAGAAACUGGCUGCGCUCAACUCACUACAAUCCACUCAAAAGUUGAAGAUCAUGUAAACAAGGGCUGUUUGGAAGGAGGGUGAACAAGAGGAGGAGGGUGUACUUCCUGAUGACUGGAUCAACAGAAGCAAGAGAACUGUUAGGUGGCCACAGAGCAUGAGCAUCACAAAAACCAAAAGAGACCAAAGAUGACUGGAUAACGUUCCCAUUGAUCAAGAUAAAAAUGA